GGCUGAUUAGUCCUUAGGACAUUUGUUUUGAAGACAAAAUGGCAGCUCGAGCGAGCUAUCAGCCU
rnacentral:tRNA from 1 species